rnacentral:rRNA from 1 species
GGUUUGUAGCAAUACAGAUGCUGGCGACCGGCAAACGGGUGCGGAACACGUACACAACCUUCCUUUAAGUGGGGAAUAGCCCAGGGAAACUUGGAUUAAUACCCCGUAAUAUUAUGAAAUGGCAUCAUUUUAUAAUUAUAGCUACGGCGCUUAAUGAUGGGUGUGCGGCUGAUUAGGUAGUUGGCGGGGUAACGGCCCACCAAGCCUGCGAUCAGUAACUGGUGUGAGAGCACGACCAGUCACACGGGCACUGAGACACGGGCCCGACUCCUACGGGAGGCAGCAGUAAGGAAUAUUGGUCAAUGGACGCAAGUCUGAACCAGCCAUGCCGCGUGGAGGAUGAAGGUCCUCUGGAUUGUAAACUUCUUUUAUCUGGGACGAAAAAGGGUCUUUCUAGAUCAACUGACGGUACCAGAUGAAUAAGCACCGGCUAACUCCGUGCCAGCAGCCGCGGUAAUACGGAGGGUGCAAGCGUUAUCCGGACUCACUGGGUUUAAAGGGUGCGUAGGUGGGUCUGUAAGUCCGUGGUGAAAUCUCCGAGCUUAACUUGGAAACUGCCAUGGAUACUAUAGAUCUUGAAUACUGUGGAGGUCAGCGGAAUAUGUCAUGUAGCGGUGAAAUGCUUAGAUAUGACAUAGAACACCAAUUGCGAAGGCAGCUGGCUACACAAAUAUUGACACUGAGGCACGAAAGCGUGGGGAUCAAACAGGAUUAGAUACCCUGGUAGUCCACGCCCUAAACGAUGGAUACUCGACAUUUGCGAUACACUGCAAGUGUCUGAGCGAAAGCAUUAAGUAU